rnacentral:lncRNA from 1 species
UAUUCAUAUAGACAUUCUUUUAUUUAUUUAUUUAUUGCCAAACCUUCCAAAAUACAUGUUAGUUUGUCUGUUUUUCUUAAAGGAAAUUUCAUUUUGGACUAGUCAUAUUUCAAGGUCCAAUAGGUAAAUGUGACUAAAGGCUACUGUGUUGGUUAAUGUAAGUCUUGAAUCAAAAGCUGAAAGUGAAGGAACCAAUUAAGCCAUAGUGAGUGGUCUUCAGCCUAGAGACAGUAUUGAUUUUUCUUAAGGUCAUGGUAAUGGUUUAAUGUUGUACUUAAUUCAAUAGAAAAGAAGACUAAGAAGUUAUGCAGCAUUUUAGUUAAUGAAUGUGCACACACCCUCACUUCACUGAAUAUACAAAGGCACUGGACAAAGCAAAGUAAAUCAGCAAGUUGAGAAAAUAAGGAAACAUUGUCUUUCCAUGCAUGAAAUAUCCUAAAUUGCUACUUUUCUUGAUAAUGUAACAUCUACUCCUAGUCUCAAGUUUCCUCUCAAAUGUUUCAUUUUUGCCAAUCAGGGGAGGCACAUGCCUUUAAUCCAGCACUCAGGAGGCAGAGGCAGAUGGGUCUCUGUGAGUUUGAAGUCAGUUUGGUCUAUAAUUCCAGUACAGCCAGGGCUGUUACACAGUGAAACCUUAUCUCAAACAAAAACAAAAACAAAUUAUUUUAACAUGAACUUUGAAAUCAAUUCCUCCUAAUUCCAUUACUUGAAAUUAGGUUUUCAAACCUUUAUUAGUAAAGUUGAAGUCUCUUUCCAGGUCUUUAUUCCAUCCAGUCACCUGAGCCUUCUGGAUCUCCUGUUCUCACAGAGGGAUGAAGAGACUGGGUUAAAGGACCACUGCCAUUAACACCUCAUAUGUGACAGGCAGUUUCCCCAGCACUGGCUGCAUCUAACUGCAGGUGGAAGGCUCCCUUGUGUGGUGGUGCAUGCCUGUAAUCCUGCCACCUGGAAGGUAGAGGCAGGAGGAUCAGGAGUUUGUCAUUUCUACUUCAUAGACAGUUUAAG